GAAGAGAGAGCUAGCUCAAACCAUCAGGAGUGCAUGUAAUCCAACAAAAGUUGUAGUUUGCUGACUAUCCGGGCAAUUUUUAGUGCUUGGAUGUUCAGUCUUCCAAUCUGCUUACCAACUAUCUGCUCUUUCUAAUUGUUCAUAACCUUCACUUUUAAUAUCCAGCUAUACCUCUAGCAACUAGAGUUGUAAAAUAUGUAUCACCAGGCACCCUCUACAUCCAAACUUAACAACCCUUUAAUUCCAAAAGUAGAGUCACCACAUAUCCAUAUGAUUUGUUUUUGUUUUAUACCAAACACGUUUAUAAAAUAGAAUAUCUUAACUUCCUUCAGCUGGCUGUUUUCCAGCCAGACACCCUCUACAUCCAAACUUAACAACCCUUUAAUCCCAAAAGUAAAUACAGGGAGUCACCAUAUAUGCAUAUCAUUUGUUUUUGUUUUAUACCAAACAAGUUUAUAAAAUAGAAUAUCUUAACUUUCCUUCAGCUGGCUGUUUUCCUGUAAGGACUGGUUCUCUUGUAUUCCCUAGAAAGUAUCUCCAAUA
rnacentral:lncRNA from 1 species